rnacentral:Y_RNA from 1 species
ACCUGGUCUGAAGGUACUGAGCUAUCUCAAUCGACUGUUCACAGUCAGUUACAGAUCGAACCCCUUGUUCUUCUCUUUCCUUCCUUCUCGCUAUUGCGCUUCACUAGACUUAA